GUCGAACGAUGAUGCCCAGCUUGCUGGGCGGAUUAGUGGCGAACGGGUGAGUAAUACGUGAGUAACCUGCCCUUGACUCUGGGAUAAGCCUGGGAAACUGGGUCUAAUACUGGAUACUACCUCUUACCGCAUGGUGGGUGGUGGAAAGGGUUUUACUGGUUUUGGAUGGGCUCACGGCCUAUCAGCUUGUUGGUGGGGUAAUGGCUCACCAAGGCGACGACGGGUAGCCGGCCUGAGAGGGUGACCGGCCACACUGGGACUGAGACACGGCCCAGACUCCUACGGGAGGCAGCAGUGGGGAAUAUUGCACAAUGGGCGGAAGCCUGAUGCAGCGACGCCGCGUGAGGGAUGACGGCCUUCGGGUUGUAAACCUCUUUCAGUAGGGAAGAAGCGAGAGUGACGGUACCUGCAGAAGAAGCGCCGGCUAACUACGUGCCAGCAGCCGCGGUAAUACGUAGGGCGCAAGCGUUGUCCGGAAUUAUUGGGCGUAAAGAGCUCGUAGGCGGUUUGUCGCGUCUGCUGUGAAAGCCCGGGGCUCAACCCCGGGUCUGCAGUGGGUACGGGCAGACUAGAGUGCAGUAGGGGAGACUGGUAUUCCUGGUGUAGCGGUGAAAUGCGCAGAUAUCAGGAGGAAC
rnacentral:rRNA from 1 species